UCAGAAGGCUUAGUAGCUGAGAACUUGAAC
rnacentral:piRNA from 1 species